UAGUUUUGAGUUUCAAGUUAA
rnacentral:piRNA from 1 species